rnacentral:piRNA from 1 species
CUCACUGAAGCUUUCUACACUGCAUACGUGG